rnacentral:sRNA from 1 species
CAUACUUUUUCCUCUUAGUCUACAGGUUGGCUGCAUAGAAGAAAAAGGUAGAGUUAUUUAUAAUCUUGUAAAUCUUGGACUUUGAGUCAUCUAUUUUCUUUUACAGUCAUCGAAUACUUUUGGAAAUAAGUUAAUAUAUGCCUUUUGAGCUGUCUUGACGUUCAAAGAUAUAAAAUAUUAAAUAUAUUUUAAUUUUGUGCCCUUGCAGAUUGAUCACUUAUUCAUUAGUAAUUUACCAGAGAUUGUGGUGGAGUUAUUGAUGACGUUACAUGAGCCAGCAAAUUCUAGUGCCAGUCAGAGCACUUACCUCUAUGACUUUUCAGGGGAUUUGGAUCCUGCUCCUAAUCCACCUCAUUUUCCAUCACAUGUGAUUAAAGCAACAUUUGCCUAUAUCAGCAAUUGUCAUAAAACCAAGUUAAAAAGCAUUUUAGAAAUUCUUUCCAAAAGCCCUGAUUCCUAUCAGAAAAUUCUUCUUGCCAUAUGUGAGCAAGCAGCUGAAACAAAUAAUGUUUAUAAGAAGCACAGAAUUCUUAAAAUAUAUCACCUGUUUGUUAGUUUAUUACUGAAAGAUAUAAAAAGUGGCUUAGGAGGAGCUUGGGCCUUUGUUCUUCGAGACGUUAUUUAUACUUUGAUUCACUAUAUCAACCAAAGACCUUCUUGUAUCAUGGAUGUGUCAUUACAUAGCUUCUCCCUUUGUUGUGACUUAUUAAGUCAGGUUUGCCAGACAGCCGUGACUUACUGUAAGGAUGCUCUAGAAAACCAUCUUCAUGUUAUUGUUGGUACACUUAUACCCCUUGUGUAUGAGCAGGUGGAGGUUCAGAAACAGGUAUUGGACUUGUUGAAAUACUUAGUGAUAGAUAACAAGGAUAAUGAAAACCUCUAUCUCACGAUUAAGCUUUUAGAUCCUUUUCCUGACCAUGUUGUUUUUAAGGAUUUGCGUAUUACUCAGCAAAAAAUCAAAUACAGUAGAGGACCCUUUUCACUCUUGGAGGAAAUUAACCAUUUUCUCUCAGUAAGUGUUUAUGAUGCACUUCCAUUGACAAGACUUGAAGGACUAAAGGAUCUUCGAAGACAACUGGAACUACAUAAAGAUCAGAUGGUGGACAUUAUGAGAGCUUCUCAGGAUAAUCCACAAGAUGGGAUUAUGGUGCAACUAGUUGUUAAUUUGUUGCAGUUAUCCAAGAUGGCAAUAAACCACACUGGUGAAAAAGAAGUUCUAGAGGCUGUUGGAAGCUGCUUGGGAGAAGUGGGUCCUAUAGAUUUCUCUACCAUAGCUAUACAACAUAGUAAAGAUGCAUCUUAUACCAAGGCCCUUAAGUUAUUUGAAGAUAAAGAACUUCAGUGGACCUUCAUAAUGCUGACCUACCUGAAUAACACACUGGUAGAAGAUUGUGUCAAAGUUCGAUCAGCAGCUGUUACCUGUUUGAAAAACAUUUUAGCCACAAAGACUGGACAUAGUUUCUGGGAGAUUUAUAAGAUGACAACAGAUCCAAUGCUGGCCUAUCUACAGCCUUUUAGAACAUCAAGAAAAAAGUUUUUAGAAGUACCCAGAUUCGACAAAGAAAACCCUUUUGAAGGCCUGGAUGAUACAAAUCUGUGGAUUCCUCUAAGUGAAAAUCAUGACAUUUGGAUAAAGACACUGACUUGUGCUUUUUUGGACAGUGGAGGCACAAAAUGUGAAAUUCUUCAAUUAUUAAAGCCAAUGUGUGAAGUGAAAACUGACUUUUGUCAGACUGUACUUCCAUACUUGAUUCAUGAUAUUUUACUCCAAGAUACAAAUGAAUCAUGGAGAAAUCUGCUUUCUACACAUGUUCAGGGAUUUUUCACCAGCUGUCUUCGACACUUCUCGCAAACGAGCCGAUCCACAACCCCUGCAAACUUGGAUUCAGAGUCAGAGCACUUUUUCCGAUGCUGUUUGGAUAAAAAAUCACAAAGAACAAUGCUUGCUGUUGUGGACUACAUGAGAAGACAAAAGAGACCUUCUUCAGGAACAAUUUUUAAUGAUGCUUUCUGGCUGGAUUUAAAUUAUCUAGAAGUUGCCAAGGUAGCUCAGUCUUGUGCUGCUCACUUUACAGCUUUACUCUAUGCAGAAAUCUAUGCAGAUAAGAAAAGCAUGGAUGAUCAAGAGAAAAGAAGUCUUGCAUUUGAAGAAGGAAGCCAGAGUACAACUAUUUCUAGCUUGAGUGAAAAAAGUAGAGAAGAAACUGGAAUAAGUUUACAGGAUCUUCUCUUAGAAAUCUACAGAAGUAUAGGGGAGCCAGAUAGUUUGUAUGGCUGUGGUGGAGGGAAGAUGUUACAACCCAUUACUAGACUACGAACAUAUGAACACGAAGCAAUGUGGGGCAAAGCCCUAGUAACAUAUGACCUCGAAACAGCAAUCCCCUCAUCAACACGCCAGGCAGGAAUCAUUCAGGCCUUGCAGAAUUUGGGACUCUGCCAUAUUCUUGCCGUCUAUUUAAAAGGAUUGGAUUAUGAAAAUAAAGACUGGUGUCCUGAACUAGAAGAACUUCAUUACCAAGCAGCAUGGAGGAAUAUGCAGUGGGACCAUUGCACUUCCGUCAGCAAAGAAGUAGAAGGAACCAGUUACCAUGAAUCAUUGUACAAUGCUCUACAAUCUCUAAGAGACAGAGAAUUCUCUACAUUUUAUGAAAAUCUCAAAUAUGCCAGAGUAAAAGAAGUGGAAGAGUUGUGUAAGCGCAGCCUUGAGUCUGUGUAUUCGCUCUAUCCCACACUUAGCAGGUUGCAGGCCAUUGGAGAGCUGGAAAGCAUUGGGGAGCUUUUCUCAAGAUCAGUCACACAUAGACAACUCUCUGAAGUAUAUAUUAAGUGGCAGAAACACUCCCAGCUUCUCAAGGACAGUGAUUUUAGUUUUCAGGAGCCUAUCAUGGCUCUACGCACAGUCAUUUUGGAGAUCCUGAUGGAAAAGGAAAUGGACAACUCACAAAGAGAAUGUAUUAAGGACAUUCUCACCAAACACCUUGUAGAACUCUCUAUACUGGCCAGAACUUUCAAGAACACUCAGCUCCCUGAAAGGGCAAUAUUUCAAAUUAAACAGUACAAUUCAGUUAGCUGUGGAGUCUCUGAGUGGCAGCUGGAAGAAGCACAAGUAUUCUGGGCAAAAAAGGAGCAGAGUCUUGCCCUGAGUAUUCUCAAGCAAAUGAUCAAGAAGUUGGAUGCCAGCUGUGCAGCGAACAAUCCCAGCCUAAAACUUACAUACACAGAAUGUCUGAGGGUUUGUGGCAACUGGUUAGCAGAAACGUGCUUAGAAAAUCCUGCGGUCAUCAUGCAGACCUAUCUAGAAAAGGCAGUAGAAGUUGCUGGAAAUUAUGAUGGAGAAAGUAGUGAUGAGCUAAGAAAUGGAAAAAUGAAGGCAUUUCUCUCAUUAGCCCGGUUUUCAGAUACUCAAUACCAAAGAAUUGAAAACUACAUGAAAUCAUCGGAAUUUGAAAACAAGCAAGCUCUCCUGAAAAGAGCCAAAGAGGAAGUAGGUCUCCUUAGGGAACAUAAAAUUCAGACAAACAGAUACACAGUAAAGGUUCAGCGAGAGCUGGAGUUGGAUGAAUUAGCCCUGCGUGCACUGAAAGAGGAUCGUAAACGCUUCUUAUGUAAAGCAGUUGAAAAUUAUAUCAACUGCUUAUUAAGUGGAGAAGAACAUGAUAUGUGGGUAUUCCGACUUUGUUCCCUGUGGCUUGAAAAUUCUGGAGUUUCUGAAGUCAAUGGCAUGAUGAAGAGAGACGGAAUGAAGAUUCCAACAUAUAAAUUUUUGCCUCUUAUGUACCAAUUGGCUGCUAGAAUGGGGACCAAGAUGAUGGGAGGCCUAGGAUUUCAUGAAGUCCUCAAUAAUCUAAUCUCUAGAAUUUCAAUGGAUCACCCCCAUCAUACUUUGUUUAUUAUACUGGCCUUAGCAAAUGCAAACAGAGAUGAAUUUCUGACUAAACCAGAGGUAGCCAGAAGAAGCAGAAUAACUAAAAAUGUGCCUAAACAAAGCUCUCAGCUUGAUGAGGAUCGAACAGAGGCUGCAAAUAGAAUAAUAUGUACUAUCAGAAGUAGGAGACCUCAGAUGGUCAGAAGUGUUGAGGCACUUUGUGAUGCUUAUAUUAUAUUAGCAAACUUAGAUGCCACUCAGUGGAAGACUCAGAGAAAAGGCAUAAAUAUUCCAGCAGACCAGCCAAUUACUAAACUUAAGAAUUUAGAAGAUGUUGUUGUCCCUACUAUGGAAAUUAAGGUGGACCACACAGGAGAAUAUGGAAAUCUGGUGACUAUACAGUCAUUUAAAGCAGAAUUUCGCUUAGCAGGAGGUGUAAAUUUACCAAAAAUAAUAGAUUGUGUAGGUUCCGAUGGCAAGGAGAGGAGACAGCUUGUUAAGGGCCGUGAUGACCUGAGACAAGAUGCUGUCAUGCAACAGGUCUUCCAGAUGUGUAAUACAUUACUGCAGAGAAACACGGAAACUAGGAAGAGGAAAUUAACUAUCUGUACUUAUAAGGUGGUUCCCCUCUCUCAGCGAAGUGGUGUUCUUGAAUGGUGCACAGGAACUGUCCCCAUUGGUGAAUUUCUUGUUAACAAUGAAGAUGGUGCUCAUAAAAGAUACAGGCCAAAUGAUUUCAGUGCCUUUCAGUGCCAAAAGAAAAUGAUGGAGGUGCAAAAAAAGUCUUUUGAAGAGAAAUAUGAAGUCUUCAUGGAUGUUUGCCAAAAUUUUCAACCAGUUUUCCGUUACUUCUGCAUGGAAAAAUUCUUGGAUCCAGCUAUUUGGUUUGAGAAGCGAUUGGCUUAUACGCGCAGUGUAGCUACUUCUUCUAUUGUUGGUUACAUACUUGGACUUGGUGAUAGACAUGUACAGAAUAUCUUGAUAAAUGAGCAGUCAGCAGAACUUGUACAUAUAGAUCUAGGUGUUGCUUUUGAACAGGGCAAAAUCCUUCCUACUCCUGAGACAGUUCCUUUUAGACUCACCAGAGAUAUUGUGGAUGGCAUGGGCAUUACGGGUGUUGAAGGUGUCUUCAGAAGAUGCUGUGAGAAAACCAUGGAAGUGAUGAGAAACUCUCAGGAAACUCUGUUAACCAUUGUAGAGGUCCUUCUAUAUGAUCCACUCUUUGACUGGACCAUGAAUCCUUUGAAAGCUUUGUAUUUACAGCAGAGGCCAGAAGAUGAAACUGAGCUUCACCCUACUCUGAAUGCAGAUGACCAAGAAUGCAAACGAAAUCUCAGUGAUAUUGACCAGAGUUUCAACAAAGUAGCUGAACGCGUCUUAAUGAGACUACAAGAGAAACUGAAAGGAGUGGAAGAAGGCACUGUGCUCAGUGUUGGUGGACAAGUGAAUUUGCUCAUACAGCAGGCCAUAGACCCCAAAAAUCUCAGCCGACUUUUCCCAGGAUGGAAAGCUUGGGUGUGAUCUUCAGUAUAUGAAUUACCCUUGCAUUCAGCCUUUAGAAAUUAUAUUUUAGCCUUUAGUUUUAACCUGCCAACAUACUUUAAGUAGGGAUUAAUAUUUAAGUGAACUAUUGUGGGUUUUUUUGAAUGUUGGUUUUAAUACUUGAUUUAAUCACCACUCAAAAAUGUUUUGAUGGUCUUAAGGAACAUCUCUGCUCUCACUCUUUAUAAAUAAUGGUCAUUCGGGCUGGGCGCAGCGGCUCACGCCUGUAAUCCCAGCACUUUGGGAGGCCGAGGUGGGCGGAUCACAAGGUCAGGAGUUCGAGACCAGCCUGGCCAGUAUGGUGAAACCCCGUCUCUACUAAAAAUACAAAAAUUAGCCGAGCAUGGUGGCGGGCACCUGUAAUCCCAGCUACUCGAGAGGCUGAGGCAGGAGAAUCUCUUGAACCUGGGAGGUGAAGGUUGCUGUGGGCCAAAAUCAUGCCAUUGCACUCCAGCCUGGGUGACAAGAGCGAAACUCCAUCUCAAAAA